rnacentral:rRNA from 1 species
CUACGGGUGGCAGCAGUGGGGAAUAUUGGACAAUGGGCGAAAGCCUGAUCCAGCCAUGCCGCGUGUGUGAAGAAGGCCUUCGGGUUGUAAAGCACUUUCAGUGGGGAAGAAAGCCUUGGGGCUAAUACCCUCGAGGAAGGACAUCACCCACAGAAGAAGCACCGGCUAACUCCGUGCCAGCAGCCGCGGUAAUACGGAGGGGGCGAGCGUUAAUCGGAAUUACUGGGCGUAAAGCGCGCGUAGGCGGUCUGAUAAGCCGGUUGUGAAAGCCCCGGGCUCAACCUGGGAACGGCAUCCGGAACUGUCAGGCUAGAGUGCAGGAGAGGAAGGUAGAAUUCCCGGUGUAGCGGUGAAAUGCGUAGAGAUCGGGAGGAAUACCAGUGGCGAAGGCGGCCUUCUGGACUGACACUGACGCUGAGGUGCGAAAGCGUGGGUAGCAAACAGGAUUAGAUACCCCAGUAGU